UAUAUCACAUUCAUGAGCUUUCAUUUUAUAAAUCUAGAUAUGCAUAAUUACAUAGACAAACAUCAAUAUCAUCAUAAUCACUCCCGGCUCAUGUACAUCCCCCCACAUCGUGCACAUAGCUGGCACCAUCAUGUGCAUCCCCCACAUCGUGCACAAUCAGUGCCAUCGUGUACAUCCCCCCACAUCGUGCACACGGGCACUAUCAUCAUCUAUCUCUCACGCCACCAUCAUCACCGGUAUGUGCAUUCCCCACAGCAUGCACACACACGGUUACAGUCAUUAUACACAAUAUCAUUCAUCAUGCACAACACACAUAUAUAUAUCAUCAUAAUACAAUAGUCCAUGAAUCCAUAGCAAUCACAUAUUACAAUAUAAAACCAUUUUUUAAAAGCUUGUUCCCAAGGCAUUUGUUUUCAUGAAAAGCUUGGUAAUUCAUUCAAAUGGGUGGCAAUUUCAUUAUAUUACCCAAAACAAGUUUUGAAGGCAGUCCACUCACAGGUGUCGAAAAUUCGAAUUUCGAGUGCACUCGGACUAAUAGUCUUCAAGCGCAAUUCCUUUGCCUUUUCCGGACGUCUCACUACCUUGACAAAUAACAAAGUCGAGAAAUUUACCAUAUUGUCCCUAAAUUGAUAUAAACUAAUUUAAAUUAGUAAUGCUUGAUAUGUAAAUGCAAAAAUACGUCCGAUUAUCACUUAAUCGCGAUAUCGAUUAAAUUCGACCGAUCACCCGAUUAAUUGGCGAUUGUGUCCAACUCACUUCCAAAUUAAUUCAUUUCUCCUCUAAUACCUUAAUUUACCACAUACCAUUUAAAUAAAGCCAAAUUCAGCAUUAGAACCCUCACAGUUCCUUAUAGAAAAAUUCGGUCAUUUGGUGCACUAGCACCGAAAUUUUUUUCUACAUAAUAGUUUCACCUUAAUUCAUCAUUUUCCAAGCCAUUUUCCUUGAAAUAAAAACAAUCCCCCAAUGAUAUUCAGCCCUCAUGGUUCGACCAACAAGGAACCCUAGAGAAAUUGAAUAUUUCUUUUGUGUUUUUGUUCAUAACCAUGCUUCACUAUCCCUAAACACUAACAUAGUCUAAAAUCAAAUUAUUUCAACAGUAAUUCCUCUUCCAUACCCAUUUUUCAGAAUUGAAUUCAUCAUGAUAACUCAAUAUUCAACCAUGGAAAUCAAAAAUAAAAGAAUGGGUAAGCUAGGUAUCAAGGAGAAUUAAAGAAAUUUUAACUUACUUAGCUUGUUUCCUUGAUUUCUUCAUUUUUUCUUUGAAUUUCCACCUAGGUUUUCUUGUUUUUCCCUUUGUUCUUCCUUUGUUCUUGUUGUUGGUUGCC
rnacentral:lncRNA from 1 species